CUUGUGUAUUCUGACUUGUCUCUUAUUAUUGUUUAACCUUUAUGUUAUUUUUUCCUAUUUAAUUUUAUUAGGGUUUACUCCUACAGCGAAUACUGGUAUGUAUUUGUUCCUGGUUUUUUCAUCCCACAGGUUCCUACUGGACACUGCCAUCUUCAACACAAAAGAGACAGCAUAUAUAUUUUGUCAUUUAAGAAACCAAAAAGUAUUUAGCUUUCAAAUGGUUGGUGAAACAUCAGGAACAUUUGGAAAAUGAUAAUGUUAGGCUGAUGCUGGUCAUCUCCCUUUCUUAAAGCAAAGAGGGAUGUUGGGCUUUUGUUUCCAGUUUAGUUUUGCUGCCUGUAUGUCAGAAGUAUUCAUUUCUUAAUCAUACGGGACUGAGCAUUCUAAUUCUGGAUUAUCAAAAGGUACAACCGACUUUGCUAGAAAAGAAAUUUGUCCUCAGUUUACAGCACGGCUAGCCAAUUAUAUAUUUUUUAUAUUUAGCCAUUUUUUGUGGUUUUUCCUCACUCACAGGAGCAAAAUAAACUUUUUUUUUAUUUGUUAGUGAGCAAGCCAGCUUGCUACUAUUGUCCUAUUGUUGUAGUUAACGAUAAUUUUUUCCUCUCUAAUUCUGGGUGCUAUGGAGACACCUUCCUGUGCUACAGGGCGCUAGUUCAACUUCACGUGGUGGUCAAAGACUCAGCGGUCGUGGGCUGCCUCAGAAUCCUCUGCUCUCUGGACCUCAGCCAUGGCGAAAUUAAUCGGAGCUAUUGCAGGAGUGGCAUCGGCUGCCGUUUCUGGUGCUGAUCUGGUGAAUUCAGUCAUUCAGGAUCCUGUCAAUAUGUGCCUGAGAAGUGUGAUCAUAAAUCUCACCAACAGCUCAUCUUACAUCCUGAUAAAUCCACAGGUUUACACCUACAGUGGAUACUGCUAUACCUCCCCAAAACCUACAGUAGAAAAGAAGAUUACAGAGAAGUGUUCUUUCGGACAAACAAAGGGAACUGCAAGUGGUGCUGUUGGGGUCCUGACCUAUGACAUCACCGAAGACCGGAAGAAGAAAGCAGUCGAGCGUCUGGCCAUCAUGUUCUCUGUGCCUUUCGACUACAAUCUCUAUGAGAACUGGUUUGCUCUCGGUUUGUUCGAAGCUACUCAAGCCUGUGAUCACGCUCUAUACAAUUGCAUGUAUCAUGAGAAAGAGAAAUCUUUCAGAAGGGGAAAGGCAACUGGUUCAGAAAUCAGCUACCAAAGUAAAAAGUUCACCUUGAGCGGAAACAUGUCUCCUGUGGCUAAAGCAGAAAUUA